rnacentral:rRNA from 1 species
UACAGAGGGUGCGAGCGUUAAUCGGAAUUACUGGGCGUAAAGCGCGCGUAGGCGGCUUUGCAAGUCGGGUGUGAAAUCCCCAGGCUUAACCUGGGAACUGCAUUCGAGACUGCAUUGCUAGAGUAUGGGAGAGGGAAGUGGAAUUUCCGGUGUAGCGGUGAAAUGCGUAGAGAUGUGGAGGAAUACCGAUGGCGAAGGCAGCCCCCUGGGCCAAUACUGACGCUCAUGCACGAAAGCGUGGGGAGCAAACAGG